rnacentral:rRNA from 1 species
GGGUGACCGGCCACACGGGGACUGAGAUACGGCCCAGACUCCUACGGGAGGCAGCAGUCGAGAAGCUUCGGCAAUGGGCGAAAGCCUGACCGAGCGACGCCGCGUGAGCGAAGAAGGCCCUAUGGGUUGUAAAGCUCUGUCAGAUUGGGAAGAAAACCUUACGGUUAAUACCCGUGAGGCUUGACGGUACCUUCAGAGGAAGCACCGGCUAACUCCGUGCCAGCAGCCGCGGUAAUACGGAGGGUGCAAGCGUUGUUCGGAUUCACUGGGUAUAAAGGGUGCGCAGGCGGCCUGAUAAGUCAGGGGUGAAAUAUGACGGCUCAACCGUCAAACUGCCCCUGAAACUGCCAGGCUUGAGUCCGGGAGAGGUAGGUGGAAUUCCAGGUGUAGCGGUGAAAUGCGUAAAUAUCUGGAGGAACACCGGUGGCGAAGGCGGCCUACUGGCCCGGAACUGACGCUCAGGCACGAAAGCUAGGGGAGCGAACGGGAUUAGAUACCCCGGUAGUCCUAGCCGUAAACGAUGGGCACUAGGUGUUGGAGGAGUCUACCCCUUCAGUGCCGCAGCUAACGCAUUAAGUGCCCCACCUGGGGAGUACGAUCGCAAGGUUGAAACUCAAAGGAAUUGACGGGGGCCCGCACAAGCGGUGGAGCAUGUGGUUUAAUUCGAUGCAACGCGAAGAACCUUACCUGGACUUGACAUGCAGGGGACAGGUGUAGAAAUACACCCUUCUUCGGACCCUUGUACAGGUGCUGCAUGGCUGUCGUCAGCUCGUGUCGUGAAAUGUUGGGUUAAGUCCCGCAACGAGCGCAACCCCUGUUUUCAGUUGCCAUCAGGUUAUGCUGGGGACUCUGGAGAGACUGCCGGUGACAAACCGGAGGAAGGUGGGGACGACGUCAAGUCAUCAUGGCCCUUACGUCCAGGGCUACACACGUGCUACAAUGGCUGGUACAAAGGGCUGCAAUACUGCGAAGUGGAGCGAAUCCCAAAAAGCCAGCCUCAGUUCGGAUUGGAGUCUGCAACUCGACUCCAUGAAGUUGGAAUCGCUAGUAAUCGCGUAUCAGAACGACGCGGUGAAUACGUUCCCGGGCCUUGUACACACCGCCCGUCAAGUCAACCGAGUUGGCUGCACCCCAAGUCGCUGAGCUAACCCGUAAGGGAGGCAGGUGCCCAAGGUGUGGUUGAUAAGGGGGACUAAGUCGUAACAAGGUA